AUCUAAAUAAAGUUGUUCAUUUAAUGGUCAUCAAUGGUAAAGAUAAACUUAACUGUUAUUAAGCAGAGCUCUAAAGGGUCUAGCAGUGUAAGAAUGAAAGCUCGAUGUGUUUCACACAGCUGAUGAUUGAUGCGGAUUGAGGCUGAGAACGGAGUUAAGUGAAACGUGGUUGCUGAGCAGCGCCCAUCGCCUCGCUGGGGGAAUACUGGACAGCGCAACGGCAGGGGAGAUAGCACUGUCUGUUGGUUUCCUGGGAGAGCGUGUUCUUCAGUUGGGGCAGGCUAUCCGCCAUGGUGAAUGUAAGUGCAAGUUGGUAUUGUAAAUAGGGACUGUUUUCUUUAUUUUUAUAAUAUGUCCUGUAACCAAAUGCAUUUAAUAACAUGACUGUAUUUUGGAUGUGUGCUUAGUAGUGUCUAUUCUUUGUUUUAUAACAGGAAUAGUCCACUACUGUUGUCUUAUUUUGGGUCUUAUUUUGGUCUUAUCUUUUCUUUUCUUUCUUCACCGGUCUCUUUGACCUGAACCAGUUUUUUGUUGGGAGUCCUGAGUUUCAGUUUAUGGACAUUGAAGAUACUUUUUGUUCAUAAGGAAUAUAUUGAACCUUGAAGAGAGGUGUUUCUUGUUGCUACCUAAAUGUUACAGAGGAACCUAAGUUAUUUUGUGGAAACACACAAACCAAACAAAUUAAUGCUGCUCUCCUUUUGGGGAACAGUCGGGAAAUAAAAGACCCACAUUAUUUUUGGAGCUGCCUGUCGUGUGCGGUUUUUUUUCUCGUUCCUACACCUGGCCCCACACCCACACGCCACCGCCAGCCCACAUAUUGGUGUCAGAAGUGGGAUUUCCAGUUUGAUUUGUCCCGUUUUGAAUUUGCAUUUUUGUCAGGACUUUAUUAAUAGGGUUUUUUUAGUGGUAUAAGACAACAGUAGUGGUGAAGAGGAGUCCCAUCCGCCUUGUUGUGAGUGGUACAGAGCUUCUGAGGGGCCGAGCGAGGACAAGCUGAGCUGCUCGGACGAGACACGGCUGCUCAGGUGCCAGGAGUUACACAUCGACCCCAAAAGGCCAAGGGACAGCACAACUCAAAAAAGGACUGUGUGACCCCAGAGGAGACAUUCACAAAAUGUCCGACAACGAGGAAGGACUGGACAUGUCCAUGCCUGGAACCAGCCAGGCGGGAGCUGAUGAUUGAUGCGGAUUGAGGCUGAGAACGGAGUUAAGUGAAACGUGGUUGCUGAGCAGCGCCCAUCGCCUCGCUGGGGGAAUACUGGACAGCGCAACGGCAGGGGAGAUAGCACUGUCUGUUGGUUUCCUGGGAGAGCGUGUUCUUCAGUUGGGGCAGGCUAUCCGCCAUGGUGAAUGUAAGUGCAAGUUGGUAUUGUAAAUAGGGACUGUUUUCUUUAUUUUUAUAAUAUGUCCUGUAACCAAAUGCAUUUAAUAACAUGACUGUAUUUUGGAUGUGUGCUUAGUAGUGUCUAUUCUUUGUUUUAUAACAGGAAUAGUCCACUACUGUUGUCUUAUUUUGGGUCUUAUUUUGGUCUUAUCUUUUCUUUUCUUUCUUCACCGGUCUCUUUGACCUGAACCAGUUUUUUGUUGGGAGUCCUGAGUUUCAGUUUAUGGACAUUGAAGAUACUUUUUGUUCAUAAGGAAUAUAUUGAACCUUGAAGAGAGGUGUUUCUUGUUGCUACCUAAAUGUUACAGAGGAACCUAAGUUAUUUUGUGGAAACACACAAACCAAACAAAUUAAUGCUGCUCUCCUUUUGGGGAACAGUCGGGAAAUAAAAGACCCACAUUAUUUUUGGAGCUGCCUGUCGUGUGCGGUUUUUUUCUCGUUCCUACACCUGGCCCCACACCCACACGCCAC